CCUGGCGUAGGACUGAACAUUUCUUCACGUGCGUUUCACUGAACGUAAGCUGUGCUGAAGACUUUAACACAGGUUCCCAAGUGAUAUAUGACAGUAUCCUCAUGUGCUGUGUGCUGGAGAGGAACCUUUGCCUGACUUGUGCGACUGCCAAAAAACAAGCCACACGAUCAGGUUAUUAGUGCUUUAUGACGUGUAGCGAACAAUGUGAACCAGAGGCCAAACAUGAGUGGGUUCCCCCAGCCCGAGGGAGCGCAGAGGAGGACAUUCUGUAUCAAAUCCAUCCCUAGUCCCUUAUUCAUGCACUCUAUCACUCCAUAAUGGGAAAUUACAAGACUUUGUUUGAGUAGCCCUAUCACAAGCCUGCUUCAGUGUGACCGCAAUACAGUGACCACGAUGAACAGGCAUGCCUUGUGCCAGAGAAACUUCAAGUGAUAGGAGAGAUCCUCGGAGAGGAAUCUGAUAGAAGCCACAGCUUUGUACCCACCUUCCCUCUGGUGGAAUAGAGACGCGUGCAGACAGACUCGGUAGCUCCUGGACCAAAGACAGUUGACAGCUAUGUUCCAUAACGGCCUAGGUGAGUGGAUUGCUCAAAAUGAAUGCCUACUUUGAUAACACAAACUCAGCUCUGACAAAAGAUGUUUAUGGAGGUGAAAGCCUGGGAUCUAGUCCUUCCUAACUUUUACUCACAGUAAAUCACUAACUAAGCCAGGCUGAGUGCCAAACAAAGGCCAAACUGGCCACAUUCAAGAUGGACACAAAACAUUAUUCUCCAUACAAACUUUUAAACCGCAUACCUUGAGGAGGACUUUCAUGUUGAAUAGGCUAUUUCUUAUCAUUCAUCUUAUGGUGUACUGAUGAACAUACCAUUACAAAUGCAGUAGACCAC